CGGUUCCUUUGGAGAAGGACUGCAAAAAGGUUUUCUGUCCGAUAGCUGGCUUUUCCGGUAGGAAAAGGACCUCAGCAGCAGAGAGGAGCAGCUCCCCGGCUCCUUGUAUUGCAGGCGGUAUUCAAUCUCCUAUUGGUGAAUUCAGGCCACGCAAUUAAAGUGGAUUUGGCGCUCUCGUGCAACAAACCCACUCCCCUCCUCCCCGAAGGAAAUCUGACUUUUUUGCUGCAAAGGAAGAGGUGGGGAAAGGCAGCCAAACUGUGGCAUAUCCGUUUUAUUGACUUACGGUAGCUUUAUUUAAGCGGACAUUUCCCCGAGGGGUUUAGUAGUCAAUCCCUUUUCCCAGGGAACUCUGGGAAUUGUUAGGUCUCCGAGGUGAACAGUGUGUGCGUGGGGGGGGGGGGAAAGUACCCUAACAACUCUCAGCCCCCUUUAACAAACUACCCUUCCCAGGAUGCUUUGGGGAAAACUGUGUCUGUUUGAAGUGGUGCGAUGCUGUUUUCAAUGUAUAGUGCAGAUGGGGACGAAUGCUUAUCGCUCGCCUAGAGGGAAAGAAGCAAAGGCGUGCGUCGUGCAUAGAAAGAAAUCUCUGAAGGAUCCGCCUUGCGGUGCUACACCUGCCUGUUCCCUACCAUCUCCCCGCUGGACUGCCUGAAGUUCCCCACACCGUGCGGCCCGUCUCAGAGAUGCCUCACGUCCGUCAUCAGAGGGCACAGAGGUGCCCUGGAACUGGUUAUCUAUGAGAAGACCUGUGGGGAUUCUUCGAUGUGUGGGGCCCAUGGCACCCGAUCCAUGCUGGGAACCAAUUUCACCUUUUAUUCUUCUUGCUGCGACACUGACCUGUGCAACUCAGCUGCCAGGGGGCCGAGCCUUUUCUGGGGGCAAGCCGCACUGAUCCCCCUGUCAAUCAUCCUGGUCAACCUCCAAUGAGAGCCAGCCCCCAAAGCAGUCAUGCCCCAGGGUGUGAGACGACUCAGGACCAGUCACCUCAUACCGCUGCUUUCUCUCGGCCUCCAAUAACCAAAAUGCUCUGGAAGAAGUCUAAAUAACACCUUUCCUGGUUUCACGUCGCUUUUCUCAUCUCUUUCUUUGGGUUAUCUUCUUAACUGCAAUUUGUGCACGGAAAUUUAUUUUAAACCCCACCUCCCCACAAUGUAUCCAGCUAUCUGAUACCGCAGUUGGCUUUGCAUUAGAAAGAAGGGGGGGGAUUGGUAGCAUGGUAGAAACAGAGGGACACAAGCCUCUCCUCUUUCUUUGCCUUUUCUAUGCUUUCAAAAUUCAGAGUGUAAGCUGCUUGGGGCAGAGCCCUGUUUGUUUGUUGAAGCCUUCCUUACCACAUUAUUUGGAUUAUAAUUCCCAUGGGAGUUGAAUGAUAGAAUUGUAGAAUCCAACCCCCUACGAGGGAAGAAUCUCAACUAAAGCAUCCAAACCGCUUUGAUGUUGUCGUCCCCUUACAAUCAAGUGGUGUAUAAGCUUUAUGGAAUAAAUAAAAUGAAUGAAAAUAAAUGAAA